GAUCUAGCACAAGCUUGAAGAAUCCAGGCUGUGGGAAGGACACUGAGAAAAUCAAAGUGAGACCUGUCGAAACCAAUGGAAGGUCAACCCAAGAAUGGCAUGCAGAAGACUGGGCCUCACCUGCCAGCAGAAACAGAACGAGGCCCCAGGCUCCCUUUCAGCUCAGACCCUACAUCCUCCCAUGGAGAAGGUCUCCUUGAAAUGCCAAGCUAGAAGAAGUGGCCAUGGCCAACCCUCUCUCCCCAUCCCCGACCCUUUAACCUCUUUCUGGACCUGGCUUAGCAGCAGGAAGCCACAGCUGCAUUGAGUGGUGCCUUGGUGUAACGGCCUGGACUUUCAGCUUUUAUCUCCCCUUCUGGCUGAUGCUCCUGCCUGCAGUAUCAGGGUCAGGGGCUGGUUAAGGAACUGCCUAGACAAAGGGAUGGGCCCUCCAGUCUUCUUUGGUUUUUCCGGUUGCCAGCACUUGCCAUUAGGAUGUUGAUGAGUCCUGGCUGCGUCUCGUGAUUGGUCUUUUUUUUUGUGUGUGUGAUUGCAUUUUUUUUCUCAUCUAGAGAUAAGGAAUAAUCCAAAAGAUUGAGGAAUAGUUCAUAACCAUAAGUCAUUUUGAUGCACAGAUAUUUCGCCUUUGCCGUAUUUCACUUUCUGCUGCAGUGAGAAGGAAUGAAAAUCAUAAACCUAGGGGUGUUUCUUGUACAUCAGAAUCCAGCGUGGUUGUAGCGGGUUGGGUGGCUGUCUCGGGCAGCUCUCCUGUAAGUGACGGUUCUGGGACCCAGGCUCAGAAACUGCACUCCAUGGAUGUUUAUGUAAGCACCACUGCUCUGUGGACUCUUCCUACUCUUCCUGCUCCUAUUUCUAUUCCAAGGUAUCUCGGUCUCUUCCUGAGCAUGAAAGGGAGAUUGUGGAUGAAAUGGAACAAAAGUUUGGUUUUAGUGUUUCAAUCACAGAGUGAUUCCACCAUCUGUGCUCGGGCUUUUGCAACGUCUUUCCACAUUGUUGGGAGCCACUGGCAUCUUGGCUGGUAAGCGAUCGCACCAGCAAAUGCCAGCAUGCGGGUGAAAUCUUUUUCCUUCUCUUGGAAGCUCUUUCUCUGAACAUUAUCGAGAGGGAAGUGCAGGAUUGUUCAGUCAGGCAUGACUAGACUGGGGGGCGGGGGCGAGUCCAUUUUAUAAAUAUAACAAAACGUUCUUUCCGUCGUAUUUGUCAGAUUCCCCCACAUCUUCAGCUCCUUUCCUCUCCUCUUCCAGCAAUAAACAAUGACUAAGUGCACAGUGUUCACGUGUUUCAAUCCAUUUUUGACAAACCUCCUCCCUCGUGCCUUUCACUUUUUAAAUCAAUUACCCUGUCCACAAUGCCUCCCUCACCUCUGUCAUUCAAUUACCAUCUUUCUAUGGCUGUUCUUUUCAACAACAUAAUUUGCCUUUAAUAAUUGAUAUAAAAGAAUUCAAAAUGUAAUCACUGAGCUCACUUAAAAGCUCUCUAAUCAAUUACCAGAAUCUGUGGGUUUGCGACAGAGGUCUCCCUGAGGACUUCAGAAUCCCCUUUUACCAAGCAUCAUUCCGAUAGAAACCAAAUGUAUAAUACAUUCUCUUGUAGCCGGCCAGGCCCAUGAAGACAAAGAACAGGUUUCAAAUGAGCGAUGGUCUGCACAAUGGCUUUAAGGUCCUUUCAGAGAGAAAAUAAUGCCAACAUUUAUCACGUGGAAAUUAAAAUGGAAAUUCUGCUUAAGCCAAGUCUAGAUUUAAGCAUGAGGGGAGCUGACAGGUGCCAGUUUCCAGUCUAGUUACAGGGUCUGCUUUUAACCUUAGCCUGAUUUUCUGAGUUAGAGUGUCUCAGAGUGGCAUGGGGGUGUUUAUUAACAAGGAUCUCAGUUCUGCUGUCAGUGAGAAAUGAGGUCCGAGUUGCUUGUGUAUGGUUGGUCAUUAUAUCUGCUCAUUCAGGGUGGGGAACGGGGACGAGGGCAGAACCGAGCAUCAGGUAGGUCUGAAUUCAGACCCGGAGUCUAAAUUUGUUCCUGAUUUUGAGCAAGUUACUUCUCUUGGAAUGCUUAUUUAUGAUUUCCACAAUUGUAAAUGUAGGAUAAUACUUACCUUAUACAUUUAUUUCUCUUCAUUGCAUUUAUGCCCUUUUAGCAUUCUGUGUUAGCUUAUGAAUUUCAAAUCUUUGUUUCUGAGAGUCAGUGUUCAGCCCAGUUUAAUUUGCUAUUUAUGUUGAUGAUUCUUUAUUGUUGAUUGUACCUUAUUCUCACUCUCGGAGAGGGCAGGUGCACCUUUGAUUCCUACACUGAUGCAUAUUGUAGUUGCUCAGUGACUAUUGGUUGGCUGGGUGAAUGCAUCAGUGACCGUCUCUAGUACCCACACAUUGUACAGCAUCCUUUGAAUUGGGCUGUGCGGUUUUCUUUCCAGGUGAUUUAUCUUCUGAAUUAUGUUUGGUGUGAGUGCUCAUUAAGUCCAGUCUUGCAUCAGCCUGACUGAUGAGUGAACUGGGGUCUAAAUUCAUGGUCAGGGGAAGCCAGCCUGGGAUUAAUCCCUGGCCUCCGUUACUCCUCAGAAGAGACAAAACCUGUGUGGAGAUACUGCCAGGUUGUUGUUGUGUGCAGAAUCUAAUUUAUAGCUGUCCAGGGUCUCCUGAGAAGAACGUGCGUUUAUAUCAUUACUAAACAGUAAUUGAUUGCAAAGCUCGGUUGUGAAAUUUACAGUUAUUGAAUGACUCUAUGUUAGCGCAUAAAUUUCAAAUCUUUAUUUCUAAAAGUCAAUUGAUAUUCAGCCCAAUAAAUAUUUAAUUUAGAUCUAAUAAUGGCAUUAGAGCAAAAUUAAAUUCUCAUUUAGAAACUACAGAAUGACCUGGAUGGGCUUGGGAGUGGUGACUUGGCAGAGAUGAGCAGAGAAACUGUUGGUCUGAUUCUUCCUCCCUUCGCUUUAAUUAGAAGAGACUUCUUGUACAUGGAUUUCUCCUAUUUCAUUGUCUUUGUGAAAAAGUCUCUUUAUGUAGGAAAUGAAAGUCCUUUAUUUGUAGAGCUUUAUGGUUCAUUCAUUCUUUUUUUAUUUUUUUAGGGCCGCACCUGUGGCAGGUUCCCAGGCUAGGGGUUGAAUCAGAGCUACAGCUGCCAGCAGCUAUAGCUCUGAUUAGACCCCUGGUCCGGAAACGUCCAUAAGCCACAGGUACAGCCCUAAAAAGCAAAAAAACCAAAAGGGCUUGUAAUAGGACUGGGCUCAUGUACUUAUAUCUUAUCAGGGAUGCUUCUGGACAUGUGAAGAGCCACUGCUUCAGCCUUUUAAAGACUGGUAUAAACCUAGGUAUAUGUUACCGCCUUAUUAUUGAGGAUUGUACAUAGGAUUCUUCCAUGAAUUUUGAGGGUGGAAUUGGUGCUUUAAAAAUUUUCAUUUAUGGGAGUUCCUGCUAUGGCCCAGUGGGUUAAGAACCUGACUGCAGCAGCUCGGGUUGCUGUGGAGGCACAGGUUUGAUCCCCUGCCUGGUGCGGUAGGUUAAAGGAUCUGGGAUUGCUGCAGCCGUGGGUCAGAUUCAGUCCCUGGUCCGGGAACUUCCAUAUGCUGCAGGUGGAGCCAUAUAUAUAUAUUUUUUUUCAUUUACGAACAACUUACCCAUAAGAAAAGAACAAUUGAAGAGGGAAUAGAAAAUAAUUAAGAAUACAUUCCUUUUAAGAAACAUAUUUAUUUGAUGGUAAAAGUCCAAUAUGUAUAUUGAAUAAAGUUUUGGCAAAACCUAAAAAGUUCACAGACUAAAAUAAAAUUACCUGCUAUCCCCAAAUCACGGAGAGCCAAAUGAUCAUAAACCAUUAGUAUUUCUUUCCAGAGCUUUCUGUAUGCAUAAUAUACAUGCUAAAACGAUGGGGCAUGCUUUAGCUACUGUGUUGCUUUCUGGUUUUUUUCCCCACAUAAUAUUAUUGUGAACAUUUUCCAAUAUCAUUACAUACACUUGUGAACAUUAUUUUCCAUAGCUACAUCAUAAUUUGUUCAAGUUUCCAUCUAAUAUGGGACAUUUAGAGUAUUUGCAGUUUGGUAGAAUUGUAAAAAGAGCUUUAAUGAACAUCUUGUAAAUUUGAGUUUGUCACUGAUAGUUUUCUUAGAAUAAAAGUGGCAUUUUCAGAUCAUUCUUUAUAAUGGUUUUAAAACUCAGGGUGCAUAAUAGUUAAUACCCGCUGAUGCUGGAAAAAUCACUGAACUGAAAUGAACCCAGACCUUGGUUGACCUGUCUUUACUGCAUACUAGCUGUGUCAUCUCGGGUGGGUCUCUAAGCUCAGCAAGCCUUAGUGUUUUUAUCUGCAGAAUGGGAAUGUAAUUUUCCAUCUCAUCAACCUAUAAGGAGGAUUCAGGGAGUAGCUAAGGGUCCAGCUAGGUGUUGCUUAAAUCAGACUCUGCCAAAGAAUGACCUAAAUUUUAUACAUUUUCUUUGGGUUCUUGUCAACAUUGACCAGUCUUCUAGAAGUUUAGCCAAAUCUCUUCUCAUUCUUUUCAAUCAGGGGUCAAAAAUACGAUGCAUGGACCAAAGUCAUCUCACCCACUGUUUUUGCGAAUGAAGAUUUGUUGGGACACAACCACUCUCACAUGUGUGUGUGUGAAUUUAUAUAAAUUAUAUAAUUUAUAUGAAUAUAUACAGUCUGUGACUCCUUUUAUGGUAUAGAGGCAGAGCAGAAAAUAUUACAAAAAAGCUUUUCUGAACAACUCCAGAGUAUCUGUUUCUGAAGUCUUGGUAGCUAUGUGCAUUGUACGUCUAAAAUCAGAAUAUUUCUGUGGUAGGGGUAGGUAUUAGCUGUGCAUGGCUGAGCUGACUGUUGCAUGUGGAUGCUCCAUAGAUAAAAAAGGGACCAGAAAUGCAGGCCUCUAACUUCGAUUGACAUACAGGUCUUUUUAGGGACUUCUCUGGGAAAAAGCCAGGUUGACCUCAAAGGAGAAUGAGAUGCUUUUAAUUUUUAAAAUUUUUUAUUUUUUGCUCUUUAGGGCUGACGCCUGUGGCAUAUGGAAGUUCCUAGGGUAGGGGGUGAAUCGGAGCUUCAGCUGCUGGCCUAUACCACAGCCACAGCAAAGCUGGACCUGUGCAUCUGCACCCUACACCCCGGCUCACAGCAAUGCCAGAUCCUUAACCCACUGAGAGAGGCCAGGGAUCAAACCUGUAGCCUCAUGGAUGCUAGUUGGGUUCUUAACCAGGUGAGCCAUGACAGGAAUUCCAUGAUUUUUGCUUUGAGCCACUUAGUUUGGGACCAAUGUUUUUGUGGCAAGAGCUCUCUGGUUCAGCCAUGUAUCAACCCACAAGGCACGCACAGUGGGUGGCUUUCAACAGUGCCAUGUACUAGUCCCCAUGCCACAUGCUGCAAACAUGGACAUGAACAAAACUGUGUUCCCUAGCCAUUGGGAUUCCACAAAUUUGUGAUGGAAAAAGAAAAAAAAAAAAA
ensembl:lncRNA